rnacentral:rRNA from 1 species
AAAACAACCCUACGGGAGGCAGCAGUGGGGAAUUUUGGACAAUGGGGGCAACCCUGAUCCAGCAAUGCCGCGUGUGUGAAGAAGGCCUGAGGGUUGUAAAGCACUUUAGGUGGGGAGGAAGGCCAUUUGGUUAAUAAGCAAAUGGAUUGACGUUACCCACAGAAUAAGCACCGGCUAACUCUGUGCCAGCAGCCGCGGUAAUACAGAGGGUGCGAGCGUUAAUCGGAAUUAUUGGGCGUAAAGGGCAUGUAGGUGGUUUAAAAGUUGAUGUGAAAUCCCCGGGCUUAACCUGGGAAUUGCGUUGAAUACUGUAAGACUAGAGUCGGACAGAGGGUAGUGG